rnacentral:rRNA from 1 species
GUGGAUUAGAUACCCUGGUAGUCCACGCCGUAAACGAUGGAUACUAGGUGUAGGAGGUAUCGACCCCUUCUGUGCCGGAGUUAACACAAUAAGUAUCCCACCUGGGGAGUACGGUCGCAAGACUGAAACUCAAAGGAAUUGACGGGGGCCCGCACAAGCAGUGGAGUAUGUGGUUUAAUUCGAAGCAACGCGAAGAACCUUACCAGAACUUGACAUCCCCGGAAUCCUGUUGAGAAACAGGAGUGCCUUCGGGAAUCGGGUGACAGGUGGUGCACGGUCGUCGUCAGCU